UACGGGGGAUGCAAGCGUUAUCCGGAAUCAUUGGGCGUAAAGCGCCUGUAGGUUGUUUAAUAAGUCUGUUGUUAAAGACUAGGGCUCAACCCUAGAAAAGCAAUGGAAACUACUAGACUAGAGUAUGGCAGGGGUAGAGGGAAUUUCUAGUGUAGCGGUGAAAUGCGUAGAUAUUAGAAAGAACACCAGUGGCGAAAGCGCUCUACUGGACCAUUACUGACACUCAGAGGCGAAAGCUAGGGUAGCAAAAGGGAUUAGAUACCCCUGUAGUCCUAGCCGUAAACGAUGGAUACUAGAUGUUGUGCUUACCGUACAGUGUCCUAGCUAACGCGUUAAGUAUCCCGCCUGGGGAGUACGCUCGCAAGGGUG
rnacentral:rRNA from 1 species